rnacentral:lncRNA from 1 species
AUGACGCUGCGUGCGCGCGCGCGCGCUGGAGGGAUGGCGCUGCGGAAGGGACAAAAAGAGGGAGUUUUUUCUUUUUUAACGGGUGUGAGUCAGUGAAUUAAAGGGAAAAGGUUAGCUGUACCUGUGAACUCCGUGCCCCUCAGUUUUUGCGUGGGGUGCAUUUGGUGGGAGUUGUACCUUUUUGUUUACUCCUGUUAGUCAUGAGUAAGGAAAAGCCAGGCUAGUUUAUUUUGCCUGGCAUGCAAUGUCAUAUAGUAUAAGCAUGGCAUGCAAUGUCGUAUAGUAAAAGCUAUGGUUUUCCCAGUAGUGAUGUAUGGAAGUGAAAGCUGGACCAUAAAGAAGGCUGUUCGCUGAAGAAUUGAUGCUUUUGAAUUAUGGUGCUGGAGGAGACUCUUCAGAGUCCCAUGGACUGCAAGAAGAGCAAACCUCUCCAUUCUGAAGGAAAUCAGCCCUGAGUGCUCACAGGAAGGACAGAUCCUGAAGCUGAGACUCCAAUACUUUGGCCACCUCGUGAGAAGAGAAGACUCCCUGGAAAAGACCCUGGUGUUGGGAAAGAUGGAGAGCACAAGGAGAAAGGGACGACAGAGGACAAGAUGGUUGGAUAGUGUUAUCAAAGCUACCAGCAUGAGUUUGACCAAACUGCGGGAGGCAGUGGAAGACAGAAGUGCCUGGCGUGUUCUGGUCCAUGGGGUCACGAAGAGUCGGACACGACUAAACGACUAAACAACAACAACAACAACAACAACAAGGAAAAGCCAGGCUAGUUUAUUUUCCCUGGCAUGCAAUGUCAGGGGGAGGAGAAGCGUGUUACUCCACCUGACUGGGAUUUUGCUUGCCUGCAGCCAUGCUACUUCAUCCUAUUUUUUAAAAAAAAGUUCAAAAAGGAAUUUAAUCUCAGAAAUAAAUCAAACAGCUGUACUUUCCUGUCACAAUGAAUCAGUGCCUUGCCCAGCGUGCAAACCAUGCAGCUUCCUUUUGCGCAAUGCUGCGAGAAACGGCAGCAACUUUCCGUGAUCCAGUUGGUUUGGCUAGUUGCCCAUAUUAGGAGGGGCUGGAGACUGGCAGCGUGAGAAGAACCCUGGGGCAUCAGGUCAAAUGCUCAUCUGUUCAUCGCCGCCGACACCACCAUCCUCCUCCUGCUCACAGUGGCCAACUCAAUCGCUAUGGGAAGAGCAGAGACAGGAAAGGGCCCUCUGCUGUUGUUGGACCCGUAUGCCUCCUUCCAGCAACUCCUGCAGCCCAGCUGGUGCCCAAUGUGUUGCUCUGCUUUCCUCUGGAACGCAUCAGCAAGGCCGGGGUGGGGGGAGGUCUUGUUGUCUGGGAGGCCCAGGACCUUCAUACUGUGAUAGGAAUUUUGAGGUCUUAGAUAUAUGUUAAAUGUUCACAAGUGUACCAACCAAGCACAUACAUAGAUCAGCACAGGAAGACCGACCUGGAACCAUUUUGAUUCCCAAACUGUCCCAAACUGACCAAAUGUUUUCUCUGCAAGGUCAAAGGAAAAUGGAAAAGCCUCCCCAUUGUCUUUUCCUUCACAAAUCCUGUCUUAAGGGUAUGUCUGUGUUUGAAUUCUGUUCUGGUCAGACCUCACCUGGAGUACUGUGUCCAGUUCUGGGCACCACAGUUCAAGAAGGACACUGACAAACUGGAACGUGUCCAGAGGAGGGCAACCAAAAUGUUCAAAGGCCUGGAAACGAUGCCUUAUGAGGAACGGCUAAGAGAGCUGGGCAUGUUUAGCCUGGAGAAGAGGAGGUUAAGGGGUGAUAUGAUAGCCAUGUUCAAAUAUAUAAAAGGAUGUCACAGAGGAGGGAGAAAGGUUGUUUUCUGCUGCUCCAGAGAAGCGGUCACGGAGCAAUGGAUCCAAACUACAAGAAAGAAGAUUCCACCUAAACAUUAGGAAGAACUUCCUGACAGUAAGAGCUGUUCGACAGUGGAAUUUGCUGCCAAGGAGUGUGGUGGAGUCUCCUUCUUUGGAAGUCUUUAAGCAGAGGCUUGACAACCAUAUGUCAGGAGUGCUCUGAUGGUGUUUCCUGCUUGGCAGGGGAUUGGACUCGAUGGCCCUUGUGGUCUCUUCCAACUCUAUGAUUCUAUGAAUAGGGCGUGAGCCCAGGAACUAAAUAUUUAUCAUUACAAAAGACUGGCCAAGCUACCCAGGCAAUCCAAUCAAGUAACCUGCCAGACAGGAGAAAAACAACAUUCAAAUUUCUGUUUUAAGACCGCCUUUUCUGUGAUGUAGGUAUGAUGUAUCUGAGGGGUGGUCUUAGGUUACACCCCAUCUGUGAUGUAUGUAUGAUGUUUCUGGGGGUGGUCUUGAUCUACAGGGUGGGAAUUUCAAAAGUCUUUAUAAGGCCUUGCGCGCCAUUUUUCGGGUGAGGGGAGCACCCUGUUGCAACAGUUCAAUAAAGAUCAAGCUUUACUAGCUGCUUUGCUUCUCAGUAUUCUCUGGUUGGCCUCUGUUAUUCUCUCCUACCAAUAGGGAACCUAUGUAAGGACUCUAUAUAGGCUCUUGGAUACCCCAUAAGGGAAAAGGGCAGUUUUUGUUUACAACAAUACCCACUGCCCAGGCUUGCUCCCUGGUGAAGUCACUUUGGUGCUAUUCACGCAGUAGUUAGACUUCACCCCCAGAGGGGCACUCCGUUGUGUCUCGAGACAUGCCGACAAAAACAUUGCCACUCCCAUCAUCCUUGACCAUUGGCUACGGAUGAUGGGUGGUGACCCAAAUUUGAAAAAACUGCACCUGGUGCAGAAGCGGGCUUUGGUCUUUCAAAUUUCAGUGGCGCCCUGUGCAAGGCCAAAAUUCAGCAUGCUUUAAAUGUAUGGGGUUGUAGCCUAUUGUGUUCUACUCAAGAGUCGCCCCAUUGAAAUUAAUGGACCUAAGGUAAGGGUAAAGGUUAGGUCCAGUCGCGGACAACUGGGGUUGCGGCGCUCACUUCAGUCAGUCUGCUUGGAGUAAAACUGUGACGCAUAGUGUGGGUGUGACCUGAACUUCCUUGUGAAUGAUCAGACAAAAAAAAAGGCUCGCUUCACCUGAAGAGAAAAGUACUGAAUGUACUUCAGCACGAGCAAUUACAAACUGUUCCCUGUAAGUGCCUUUAGGUCCACAUUCUCCACUUUCCCAGUAAACCUGGGGUUAAGGGUGCAUGUGCCAAGAUUACAAACUGGGUUAGUAGUCCUGUAUGGCAGCAUUGCAAAAGCCUAGUGCCAGUGGUGAUUAAGAAUUGCCUCCAGAUGGCUAUGAAGAGAAGCUUUCAAUGGGAAUAGAUAAGAGGACUAUUUCAGAUUUUGGUGGUGAGAGGAAGCGAUUAUAGUGUGGUACGAGAUCUGGCAACAUCCAGUUUCCACUCUCAGAUACAUUCAGAGAGGAGCAGUGUAUUUUUCAGGGCUUUAAUUUUAUUGCUGUUCAGUAUAUUCUACAAUAUGUACUGUUUGGACUUCUCCACACUUUUUGCCCUGCACUUUUUAGGCACAGGUCCAUACCCUCCAACCUUUCUCUGAUGAAAAUAGGGACGUUCUAAGGAAAAGCAGGACAUUCCGGGAUCGUAUCAGAAACCGGGACAGCUUCUGUAAAUCCAGGACUGUCCCUGAAAAAUAGGGAUACUUAGAGGGUCUGCUCUCAGGUACGUUUAGAGAAAUAGCAAUGUAUUUUUCAGAUAUUUUAUUUCAUUAUGGUUUUGUAUGUUCCGUAAUACGUAUGCAUGAUAUGCACUUUCUAGGCAUUUCAGAAAGUGCUUUCCUGGUCCAUGUCUGAGCACUUCCUCCACCUCCUGCUUUCCUCAGGAAAACCCGAUCUUUAUCUCUGAAUUGGUGCAAACAGCAAUCCGGGUUUUCCGCAGAUGGUCAUUUUCUCCGAUUCAGCGGUAAAGAGUGGGUUUUUUACAGGGAAAAUAGAGGAGGUAGAGGGUGGGGAAGCGCUCGGACUAACCAGGGAAACACAGACCUGUGCCUAGAAACAUGGAUUGGAGGUAACGGUGGAUGAACCCUAUGUACGUAUUAGCAACAGGAUAGUCACACAUACACAGUGGAUACACAGAGGUGUGAGACUUUCCCUUUUCCUUUUUUCCAAUGAAAGCCUUUGUCAUAUUUUAUGUGGAAUAGAGGCCCAUUCAAUAUGAAGUGUAGUCACUCGACGCAUGGAAUCCAGCGAGCUAGCUGGAAAAGUAGGCGUGUCCCGGGAAGAAUGGCAGAUGAAGUUGAUGGACUACAUGGAACUGGCGGAAAUGACUGGCAGAAUCCGAGACCAGGGAGAAGAGUCGGUGGAAGAAGAUUGGAAAAAGUUUAAAGACUAUCUACAGAAAUAUUGUAAAAUUAAUGAAUGUUAGAAAAAUGUUGAAAUGAAGUUAUAUGGCUUUAGUAGAAAUAUUAUAAGGAAUUAAGUACAGAUAGGUUAAUAGAGUAUUAAAGAAAAAAAUAAGGUUAGAAUGAGUUAAGAUAAUUAUAGGAUAGAAAACAGAGGAAGAUGGAAAGGAAUUGCUGAAAUAAUUAACAGAAGUGGAAUACAAAAAGGGAGGUGUGAGGAGGUCGUGGAAAUAAGUGAAUGAAAGAUGAGAUAAUGAAAUUGUUUGAUUUAUUUUAUUGUCUUUGUCUUGUUUUGUUAAUUUGAUGUGUUGUAUUGUAUUGUUUUUCUUUUUCUUUUUUCUUCUUUUUUUAGUGUUUUUGGAAAAAUAAUAAAUAUUAUUUUU